AUGGUGGGCCUCGCCGCCGCCAUCGCCAACGCCUUCCGCAGGAUCCUGCUGGCCGAGGUGCCAACGAUGGCUGUAGAGAAAGUCUUUGUGUACAACAACACAUCCAUUGUGCAGGAUGAAAUUCUGGCUCAUCGCUUGGGCCUCAUCCCUAUCCGAGCUGACCCUCGACUCUUUGAAUAUAGAAACCAAGGAGAUGAAGAAGGCACAGAAAUUGAUACUCUGCAGUUCCAACUGAAAAUAAAAUGCAGCCGAAACCCUCAGGCAGCCAAGGAAUCAUCUGAUCCUAAUGAACUAUAUUUCAAUCACAAAGUGUACAGUAAACAUAUGACGUGGGUGCCCUUGGGGAAUCAGACAGACCUCUUUCCAGAUGCUGACUUCCGACCCGUUCACGAUGACAUCCUCAUUGCACUGUUGCGACCUGGGCAGGAAAUAGAUGUGCUUAUGCACUGUGUCAAGGGUAUAGGUAAAGAUCAUGCCAAGUUUUCUCCUGUGGCCACGGCUAGUUACCGACUGCUUCCUGACAUUACUCUCCUGCAGCCUAUAGAGGAUGAGGCAGCUGAAAUGUUGCAGAAGUGCUUUUCCCCUGGAGUCAUUGAGAUCCAGAACAUCAAGGGAAAAAAGGUAGCAAGAGUAGCCAAUGCACGGUUGGACACAUUCAGCAGAGAAGUUUUCCGCCAUGAGGGACUGAAAAACCUUGUGCGCCUGGCAAGAGUGCGAAACCAUUACAUCUUUUCAGUGGAGUCGACGGGUAUCUUGCCUCCAGAUGUGCUGGUGAGCGAAGCCAUCAAGAUUCUGAUGGGAAAGUGUCAGCGCUUCCUGAAUGAGCUGGACUCUGUGCCUAUGGAGUGACCAGGUGGUAGCUGGGAAGCGUAUCCCUGCGCUGCUCCUCUGGGCUUCCUGCACCUGCCUGCAGGAGUGAUUCCUCUUCUGUAGGCAAGAGGUUUGAGAUGGGCUUGCUGUCUCCUUCUGUGCUGUUCACAAUUGUGAGACUGUAACACAUGGAGAAGAAAGUGGCAGCAGGUCUAAUGAUGAGCAAUAGCAUUUAUUUUAGAUUGCGUACAGUAUGUGAAAAGGACUGAUACGGCAGUGUAGUAAAGCACUUCACAGCAGUGACUGAACAUACUUCAGGCUGACCUUGAAGCAGAACUGGAUGGUGGAGGGCAAGCGCCAAAGGCCUG